AACGAACGCUGGCGACAUGCCUAACACAUGCAAGUCGAACGAUGCCUUCGGGCAUAGUGGCGCACGGGUGCGUAACGCGUGGGAAUCUGCCUUUCGGUUCGGAAUAACUCAGGGAAACUUGAGCUAAUACCGGAUAACGUCGCAAGACCAAAGAUUUAUCACCGAAAGAUGAGCCCGCGUAGGAUUAGCUAGUUGGUGAGGUAAAGGCUCACCAAGGCGACGAUCCUUAGCUGGUCUGAGAGGAUGAUCAGCCACACUGGGACUGAGACACGGCCCAGACUCCUACGGGAGGCAGCAGUGGGGAAUAUUGGACAAUGGGCGAAAGCCUGAUCCAGCAAUGCCGCGUGAGUGAUGAAGGCCUUAGGGUUGUAAAGCUCUUUUACCCGGGAAGAUAAUGACGGUACCGGGAGAAUAAGCCCCGGCUAACUCCGUG
rnacentral:rRNA from 1 species